ACGACCUUACUUGAACAGGAUCUGUUAUAUAGGCUCGUACUUUUGUAUCCUUGAGUUCUAGACGGGAACUUAAGUCUGGUGGAUGAACCAUACCCACGCGACUAAGGCGUGAGUAACGGCUCCCCAUCUCUCUCAUGGAGGUAGAGAAGCUAUAGAGGAUCGUUCUCAUCCUUGAUUGAGGACUGAGAUGGUUGCUCGGUUGUCUGACAGACU
rfam:Punica granatum cultivar Dabenzi scaffold525, whole genome shotgun sequence.